rnacentral:rRNA from 1 species
CCCUUAGAUGUUCUGGGCUGCACGCGCGCUACACUGAAGCGUUCAACGAGUAUUCACCUUGCCCGGGAGGGUUGGGUAAUCUUUUGAAAACGCUUCGUGAUGGGGAUAGAUUAUUGCAAUUAUUAAUCUUCAACGAGGAAUUCCUAGUAAGCGCGAGUCAUCAGCUCGUGCUGAUUACGUCCCUGCCCUUUGUACACACCGCCCGUCGCAUCUACCGAUUGAAUGGAGAGGCAAAAUCUUCGGACCGUGACGCUUGGGAGUCAAAUCUCGGGCUGUCGUGGGAAGUGGAUUAAACCUUUCUAUUUAGAGGAAGGUAAAGUCGUAACA